rnacentral:rRNA from 1 species
CAGCCGCCGCGGGAAAACGAAGGGGGCUAGCGUUGUUCGGAAUUACUGGGCGUAAAGCGCACGUAGGCGGACAUUUAAGUCAGGGGUGAAAUCCCGGGGCUCAACCCCGGAACUGCCUUUGAUACUGGGUAUCUCGAGUCCGGAAGAGGUGAGUGGAAUUCCGAGUGUAGAGGUGAAAUUCGUAGAUAUUCGCAGGAACACCAGUGGCGAAGGCGGCUAACUGGUCCAUAACUGACGCUGAGAUGCGAAAGCGUGGGGAGCAAACAGGAUUAGAGACCCGAGUAGUCCCUGUCUCUUAUAC